rnacentral:tRNA from 1 species
CGCGGACAUCAUGGCCCAAUUGGGAGAGCGCCUGGCUCAGAACCAGGCGAAUGGCGCGAUCGUCAUCCGCCACCA